rnacentral:rRNA from 1 species
GUGCCAGCAGCCGCGGUAAUACGUAGGAUCCAAGCGUUGUCCGGAUUUACUGGGUGUAAAGGGUGCGCAGGCGGACUGGUUAGUCUGGGGUGAAAUCUCAUCGCUUAACGGUGAAACUGCCUUAGAUACUGCCAGUCUUGAAUCAGCGAGAGGUUCGUGGAAUUCCGAGUGUAGCAGUGAAAUGUGUAGAUAUUCGGAAGAACACCAGUGGCGAAGGCAGCGAACUGGCGCUCGAUUGACGCUCAGGCACGAAAGCAUGGGGAUCAAACAGGAUUAGAUACCCCCGUAGUCC